CAGGAAGCGGUGUAUCCUGUGUCCAUCGGUCCAUAUCAGCCAUCCUGAGUUGUGUUGACUUGAGUUGUGCAGCAUCACGCCAAACCAUCGUCGUCUGCCCAAGCAGGGGUGCUUCUGUGUCCAUCUGUCUGUCUCCAUCUGUCCCCUGGGAGGGCAGUUUGCGCGAGAGAGGGUGUGGGUGUAUGUGGUGGGUGGGUGUAGACAUUAGAGGGGUGAGGGUCUCAGGUGGAGCCUCGGGGUUCAAAGGUCAAAGUGCCAGCAUUUUCUGCACAGACAUCCAGCAUUCAUUCCCGCAGGUCGUCUCCUCUUCGCAGCUCCCGCCGUGGGUAGACUGGGGCUCCGCUUUUCCCUUUUUCAUCUCGACCCCACCCGCCUUUCCCCUCUUCCCCCCUAUCUACAAAUCUGGCCCGCCCAGCUCACCCCACACCCACCUUGUAGCCGCCUGACCCAAACCUCCCCUUUUCUCUGUCGGCAUACUUCAUUAUGUGCCUCACUGGCCGAUGCAUCGAUACAGUAAUACUUGCAAGAACGUCGAGUUCAGCGACACAAAGAAACGUCCACACUGCUGCCACAAACCCAAAGUAUUCACAUUAGGUGCGACUGCGUGUGUGUGUGUUUGUGUGUGUGAAUGAAUGAGAGGGGUGAGCCGAGGGUGUCUAUGAAUUUCAGUCUGCUCCUCCCCUCUCCCCUCUCCUCCUGCUGUCCUGCAGCAGAUCAUUCCAGAGCGGGCUGAAACCUCAGCGGUGGCCGCCCCCUCACCCGGCCAGGCGGCGGGCGUUUUGGGUCAGGCUCCCAAAUGGGCAACAAAAGCGCUCUAUCCAAAGAUGGAGCUCAGUGACAUCGCACAGGACAAACCAGCUCUAAUUGUUUUGUUAUUUUUCUGGCUUCAUUUCUUCUAUUGUUUUACUUUUUGUUUCUUUUUUUAAAUUUUAUUUUAUUUUAAAAUUCAUUUUUACAGCUAAUGUCCACGUUGGCAUUAUGUUCGAUAUUGUUACUCUUAUUGUUAUUACUGUUUUUCUGUAAAAGAAGUUUUACUAUGAUGAUUGUUAUCAUUAUUAUUAUUAUUAUUAUUAUUAUUAUUAAAGGAAACGGUUCUGUGUUACAAGGAAUACAAACUUUGUUCUUUGACUUAAGUAAUUCAGCACUUUCGGUUCCAGCUUUCCUCCGUCAGCUUCCACCCUUCAUCGCGGUUCCUCGCUCUCUGCCAUACUGUCAGCUUGGUUUUCAAUCCAGCCUCCCAAUCCCCUCCAACCUCUAAACUUUCCCCACUUUGUGUUCCCCCCCCCUCCUCCCCCCACGUCAGUGACAGUGUAUUGCAUUGUGGGUAGUUUUACCAGACAUUUUGCUCCUUUCCUUGUACAGUGAUGCCAUGUAUAGAACGCUAUUGCAAAUUUCUGUAUCUAAACUUUAGUUUGUUCUGUUUUUGUUUUUAGAUGAUGUUGGGGAGGCUUUAUUUUUCUUCUUUUUUUAAAAAGUAUAUUGGUAUUGUUUAUCAUUUGUAUUUGUAUUUUUUUUUUGAUGUCUUGAGAAAAAAUGUUUUCUUCUUGUUUUAUGAAUCUUGAGAUUUCUAGCCAAAAGAGGACAGAGAGAAGAGAGACGGUGCUCUUCCUGCGUCGUUAAAAAAAGCGAUUGUUCUUAUUUGUUUUAAUGUUAUUAUGAUAUCGAGACACUUGAAUAAGAGGAGAGUAAUUAUUUUGUGUUGCUUUUUAAAGUAUCAUUUCAAUCGAUGUUGUUGUGACUGUCAUUCUCGUUGAUGUUGGGGGGCCUGUUUUCUGUUAACGGGCUAGUUGUGGCAGGCUUUACAGGGUCAGGCUUUCGGGCUUUUGUCUGGGUUGGUUCGGGUGCUACUUGACUUGAUGCUCUUAAAGGAAAAACAAAACAAACUACAAAAAAGACAAAAAAAUGAGGGAAUAUCUUGUAAAAUAGCUGACAUAUCAUCCAAAAAAGAAACAUCACAAGUGUGGUCACGGACAAACCCACUUCUAUUUCUCCCUCUUGCUGCCCUACCUACCAGUCUGCUGUGAUCCUCCCCGCCAUCUUUUACUAUGUCGGCUUCUGAUCAGACGGCGCCUUACAGACUUGGCCCCCUCCUCCCAGGCUAACAAUGUUACCACCAAGGAGGACACUGCAGCUGCGGCUCACCCCCCACACGUUCCCCUCUUUUGGAUUCAUUUGUGAUUUUGUUUCACUCUAACCCCGGGUGGAGGUGAUGGCUGCAUGAACAGUUUGGAUACACCUGGACAUCCCUCCGAACUGUAAAAGGGAAAAUGUAUAAGGAGGUAACCAUAGGAAUGAAUUAUUUGGAUUCUCCAAAAAAAAGGAAAGGUGUGGUCAGAGCUGAGCUGGGAGGGUACGCCCACCUUUACGCUAGUCUCCCAAGGUGCGUGCCCUGCAGCACACUGGGGACCACAGCAGAGGACUGCACCUCCCUUUUCUUCCUCUUUGUUUUUCAAAUUUGGUUUGUUCUGUAUCUAUCCUCUCAUAAAUCAAUACUCAAUAUUGGGCCAGCAAGUGGACUGCGGCGCAAAACAAUCGAGCUCCACUUGUGUGCUUGUACAAGGGAGACGCCGCAGAACAUUGCUGCGCUGGUCUCCAUAUUGUACGCUAUAUACGCCCGAGAACUGUAGGUGGUGUCAUGCAGCGCUUGCGCUUUCCAUUUGCAGCAUGUCACUUUCUGUUUACUGACAUUCGCUUUUAUUCAGGCCCGCGGUUCCUUCUUAGCAGUUGUAUCUCUAAAACAAAGUGUACACACAGAUGUGAACAGGGAAGCUGAUGUGCAUGCUGUUCCUUCCAAACCGUGUUUUAAUUGGACAGAAGACAACCUUCCAAUCUAACUCGAGAGUUUCCUCCAGAUCUCAGUCGUUCCUCUUUCAGAUCUGACCUCCUGUUAUUUUUGUUUUUUUCCUCAUUGUUUACACCAAGCCAAAAUCAAGAACUGAAGGGGAAAGGAUUGAGUAUGGAAAAGGGAAAUAAUGGGGAUGGAAGAUGCAUCUCUCGUCCCAUUGGCUGGACAAGAGACGCAACUCCAGAAGUUCCUCUUGUUGUUUGCGUUGUGUCCAGUUCCAGAGCUGUAUGUAAAGGUCGAGGGGGAGCACACUGGAAUGGAAAGCACAGCACUGAGCUGAAUCGCACACAUCUGCCUGAUCAGAAUGAUCUUUCCUCUUUUUUGUUUUAUUUUAAUUUGUGUAUCAACUCUUCCAUCCCUGACUUCCAUCUUCUCUCUCCAUCCCAGCAAGCCAGCUCUCUGCUCCACUCCUGUUUCUUAGGUUCAUUUUGUUUUCUAUUGGUUCUUUUUUUGUCUACUUUUUUGUUGUUUUUAUUUUUCUUUUUUGUUGAGUACAAAAAUACUAAAGUGCAACAACAAUGAUUAAAAAGAAUAUCAACCAAACUGAGAUGAAUAAAUAAAUAUAUAUAAAUAAAGAAAUAAUUUAAAAAGGUUGA
ensembl:lncRNA